UAGGGAAUCUUCCGCAAUGGACGAAAGUCUGACGGAGCAACGCCGCGUGAGUGGAGAAGGAUUUCGGUUCGUAAAACUCUGUUGUUAGGGAAGAAAAAAUGUAUAGUAACUAUAUACAAAAGAGACGGUACCUAACCAGAAAGCAACGGCUAACUACGUGCCAGCAGCCGCGGUACUACGUAGGUGGCAAGCGUUGUCCGGACUUAUUGGGCGUAACGCGCGCGCAGGUGGUUUAGACAGUCUGAUGUGAAAGCCCACGGCUCAACCGUGGAGGGUCAUUGGAAACUAAUAAACUUGAGUGCAGGAGAGAAAAGUGGAAUUCCUAGUGUAGCGGUGAAAUGCGUAGAGAUUAGGAGGAACACCGGUGGCGAAAGCGGCUUUUUGGCCUGCAACUGACACUGAGGCACGAAAGCGUGGGGAGCAAACAGG
rnacentral:rRNA from 1 species